rnacentral:rRNA from 1 species
CCUACGGGAGGCAGCAGUGGGGAAUAUUGGACAAUGGGGGCAACCCUGAUCCAGCCAUGCCGCGUGUGUGAAGAAGGCCCUCGGGUUGUAAAGCACUUUCAGUGAGGAAGAACGCCUGGUGGUUAAUACCCAUCAGGAAAGACAUCACUCACAGAAGAAGCACCGGCUGACUCCGUGCCAGCAGCCGCGGUAAUACGGAGGGUGCGAGCGUUAAUCGGAAUUACUGGGCGUAAAGCGCGCGUAGGUGGCUUGAUAAGCCGGUUGUGAAAGCCCCGGGCUCAACCUGGGAACGGCAUCCGGAACUGUCAAGCUAGAGUGCAGGAGAGGAAGGUAGAAUUCCCGGUGUAGCGGUGAAAUGCGUAGAGAUCGGGAGGAAUACCAGUGGCGAAGGCGGCCUUCUGGACUGACACUGACACUGAGGUGCGAAAGCGUGGGUAGCAAACAGGAUUAGAUACCCGGGUAGUC